AGGGCUGCCUGGGCUUUCAGACAGUCCUCCUGAAGAGGAUCGCUGUGAAGGAGGUGGAGAGGUAUGCAGUGCUGAGAGAGCUUAGGAGAUGCAAAAAGGAGAUGGUAAAACCUUUCUUCAAAACAACAAAAACAUGUAUUGGGGACGAUGACGACAGAUAUCCAGGCAAAGGGUCAUUAUAGCAUUAGGAAUACAGUUCCAAAAAGGACAGCAACGCCUGGAUUUACUCCGCGAAGCAUUUGUGCCAUUAAAAGGUCUUUUUAGUCCAUUAACUGCAACACCAUUUAGUGAAUAACAAAUGACAUUGCAAUACGUAUAUAUUUUACUAAUUGUCAGGGUAACAAAGUUACACCAGUUAGUAAAUUGCAAUUUUCUUUGCUGGAAAUGCGUCUAGUGAACAGAGCUCAAUGCUCCUGAUCAAUACAGCAAUCAAAUGAUAAUACAUGCAAGAACCAUGUCAAUAGGCUCC